GGUGACCGGCUGUGGGUGGGGCGGCGGCCGGGGCCCUGGCUUUUACGUUUAGGGCUGAGGAAGCUCUAGGGAGCAGUGGGCUCCGGUGAACUCCGUCGGUUCCCAGGGCUAGGACUCUCGGAGGAGGCCACGGUGAACCUCUCGCCUCCGACCCAAGCUAAGCGGCCUCGGAGCCCGCGUCCCGCCCGGCGGCGUCUGCCCGACCCUCCGCGGGCUGCGCGCGACCGCUCCGGCUCAGUUCGGGGCUGCGGCGGGAACCGCCGAGCUGGCUGGACGGGCCCUUUCUCCCGAGGACCCGGCUGAGGAGAAGAGGCAGCGCGGCUGGCCCGACCCCGCGUCCUGAGGUCAGGCCGUGGGCUCCGGGGCUCCCGGGCCGUAGUCCCCCGUCCUUGCCCCGCGUUCCCUGGCAGAGGAUCCGCGACCUCGCCCGCGCCGCCCGGCUGCUCCUCGGAGUGUGUGGCACCGAGCCCUCUGGCGGGGUGAUUUGUCCUCCUUGUUCUUGCUCGGGAGAGGCAUCUGUCUGAAGGGUACCCGUGCUCUUUAAAACUUUUAACCAAAGUGGAAAUGCGUGUGCUCUUUUUCUGGACCACUGUCGGGUUCCACUCUAGCCGGGGUCUGAGAUCCCAUUGAGAGUAAAAAAACGAGAGAGAGAGGAAGGGGGAAAAGUACCUACAAAAUAGUUCUGCACUUGGUCUCUCAGAUGAACUUUGGAGUUAAGAUGCAGGGAGGCGAGCCGGCACCAGUGAUGAAAGUCUCAGAGAGUGAAGGGAAGCUGGAGGGCUUGGCCGCAGCAGUGACCCCGAACAAGAACAGCGGCAACAGCAGCUGCGGGGGCGCCCUCAGCAGUAGCAGCAGCAACAGCAGCCGCGGUGGCAGUACGAAAGGCUGGCAGUACAGUGAUCACAUGGAAAGUGUUAAUGGCUAUUUAAUGAAGUACACCAACCUUGUCACCGGGUGGCAGUACAGGUUUUUUGUUUUAAACAAUGAAGCUGGACUAUUGGAGUACUUUGUGAAUGAACAGUCUAGAAAUCAGAAACCCAGAGGGACUUUACAGCUUGCAGGGGCUGUGAUCUCACCCAGCGAUGAGGACUCCCACACCUUCACAGUGAAUGCUGCCAGCGGGGAACAGUAUAAACUCCGAGCCACAGAUGCUAAAGAACGGCAGCAUUGGGUGAGCAGACUUCAGAUAUGUACACAGCACCACACAGAAGCUAUUGGAAAGAAUAAUCCUCCCUUGAAGUCCCGGAGCUUCUCGCUUGCAUCUAGUGGUAAUUCUCCCAUAUCCCAGAGGAGACCAAGUCAGAAUGCCAUUUCUUUUUUUAAUGUUGGACAUUCCAAACUGCAAUCAGUCAACAAAAGAGCUCACUUGCAUCCAGACCAUCUGGUGGAGGUCAGAGAAAUGAUGUCUCAUGCGGAAGGACAACAACGAGACUUAAUGAGACGGAUUGAAUGCCUUCCUGCUUCUGGCCUUCUCAGUUCCUUGGACCAGGACCUCUUGAUGCUCAAAGCUACUUCCAUGGCAACAAUGAACUGCUUAAACGACUGCUUCCACAUUUUGCAGCUGCAGCAUGCCUCACACCAGAAGGGUGCCCUUCCGCCAGGGGCGACAAUUGAGUGGUUGGAACCAAAGAUACCUUUAUCAAACCACUAUAGAAAUGGAGCUGAGCAGUUUGCAGCGGAGCAGAGCAAGCCCAUGGCAGCCCCGGAAGCGCAGUGUGCUGCAGAAUCUGGAGUAUUAGCAAGGGAACCUGAAGACAUCGAUGCAGAUGAUGAGGUAGAGGACACCUGUGACAACAAGGAGGAUGACCUGGGAGCCGUGGAGGAGCAGCGAAGUGUUAUCCUGCACCUCCUGUCACAGCUCAAACUGGGCAUGGACUUAACCAGAGUGGUGCUUCCUACAUUUAUCCUGGAGAAGCGUUCCUUGUUGGAGAUGUAUGCAGAUUUCAUGUCGCAUCCAGACCUGUUCUUAGGCAUCACCAAUGGAGCCACGCCAGAGGACCGGAUGAUUCGAUUCGUUGAGUACUACCUUACCUCAUUUCAUGAAGGCAGAAAGGGAGCCAUUGCUAAGAAGCCGUACAACCCUAUCAUUGGAGAAACUUUCCACUGCUCCUGGAGGAUGCCAAAGAACCAAGUGGCAUCCGGUGUGAGUGGCAGCUCUUCUACCCCAGCCGUCGGGAAUCAUGCUCCUCUGACAGAGGAGGCUCCGAGCCAGGCGGUCUCAGACUGUUACACUGUCAGAUUUGUUGCUGAGCAGGUUUCCCAUCAUCCUCCAGUCUCAGGAUUCUAUGCAGAAUGUGCAGAAAGGAAGAUGUGUGUAAAUGCACAUGUGUGGACUAAAAGCAAGUUCUUAGGCAUGUCCAUAGGCGUGACAAUGGUCGGAGAAGGUGUCCUUUGUCUAUUGGAGCACGGAGAAGAGUAUACGUUUUCCCUGCCCUGUGCAUAUGCGCGCUCCAUUCUCACUGUUCCGUGGGUAGAACUAGGGGGUAAAGUCAGCGUCAACUGUGCAAAGACCGGUUACUCAGCCAGCAUCACCUUUCAUACUAAGCCGUUUUAUGGUGGCAAACUACACCGAGUCACAGCUGAAGUGAAGUACAACAUUACCAACACUGUGGUGUGCAGAGUCCAGGGGGAAUGGAACAGCGUUCUGGAGUUCACCUACAGCAACGGAGAGACCAAAUAUGUGGACCUGGCUAAACUGGCUGUGACAAAGAAAAGAGUGAGGCCUCUGGAGAAGCAGGAUCCCUUCGAAUCCAGACGAUUGUGGAAAAAUGUAACAGAUUCUCUGAGGGACUCUGAAAUUGACAAGGCCACAGAGCACAAACGUUCCCUGGAAGAACGCCAGAGAACAGAAGAAAGGCUGCGGACUGAAACAGGCACACCCUGGAAAACCAAAUAUUUUAUUAAAGAGGGAGAUGGCUGGGUGUAUCACAAACCCCUGUGGAAAGGAAUUCCAUCACAGCCAGCGGAGUGACACACGCGCUCUAAGACUGGACCAAAUGAGGGUCUCCUCUGUGUACCCUAAGCCCUCGCAGGUAGAGUUGUUGCACUGAGUGGCCUGUUUCCUAACUGUACAGCCUGAACACGAAUGUACCUCCUGAGCCCGUCACCCUGCAGCAAGACCAAAGUGUUACUGACGUCCGAUGGGCCUCCUGCCUGCCCCGGCAUGAGCAGUACCACCUCACAGCCCUCCACCUACCAGUUCGUCACCGUCUGAGCUGAGUUGAAAGCUGUUCCAGCCUCAGGUUGUUCAGGGCCACAGAUAACAGCAGAGAAAACUCAUGACUUUGGUUCCUUUGUAGUAAGAAGUAAAGUCUAUUGCAGCGUCUGUUUUGCUUUCUGUCCAUAGCUGAAGUAGUCACUGCUCUUGGAAGCCAGCCAAGAGGGAGAGGAACGUGACCUUCAAGUGGAUUCAGCCGCUGUGCCUGAAGUCAGUGUUCACACCUCACUGGGCUGUAGUACCAAGGCCUCUUUCCUCCAGAGGCCAUGCCUGUGUCUGAGGAAGCCCAUCACCCGCUCUGGUGGAACUCUUUGAAAAGUGUAUUUAUAAUUAGAAUUGUAACCAUGGAGGAAUUUUUUUCUUCUGAGCAUUUUAAUAUACUUGAAAACAACAUUGACUUGAAAAAUUUCAGAACAUUUUUCAAUACCUAGUUUUAUUAAAUAUUAUACUUAAGAGACACUUUUUUAAAAUGUGUUCAUGUCACUAUGAGAUUUUGGCCUUUCUCAAGAACUAAGGCAUUAAAAAAUAGAAAACAUUAAGAAACAAAACUGUUACUUUUCCUUACCUAUUUUCCUUUGUAGGUUCAUAUUCAGUAUUAUGAGCUCUCCUGAGCAAGUUGGCUUUAUCUGACCUCUGUUCAUUCAAAAGUUAAAACUUAAACCUGUUCACGUCUGACAGUAAUUCAAUUAUGUCUGUGGCUGAGUACACGAAAAAUAUGGCUUUUUUAUUUUUCAAGGAAAUGUAAACACUGAAGAAAGGCUAUGAACUAAAAAGCAGGAAUCUGCAUUCAGUAUUUGCUGAGCACCCAGUCGUGGUGCUGACUCUUGCUACUGCGAGCUACCUUACUGUCCAGAGUGGUGCCUUACCCUGCUCCUGCCCACGUGGUCUUCCAGUCAGUGUGCGAACACACCUGUCGCUCGCUCGUAGGCCGUGCCAGGCUGCGUCUGUGCUCUGAGAAACCGUACUCUUAGUAGGGUUCAUAGGAUGAAAACAGCGACAAUGAUUUUUCAGCAAAUUGUAAAUUAAAAUUGGUCUGUGUACAGCCAUUUUAAUGAUUCCGUUUUCAUUUUUGCUGUGAAGUGCACUGAAAAAAAUCUCAAAAUGAGCUAUAGUUCAUGUGUUGGGAAAAUUGAAAAACAAUAAAAAUUGAGACCAGC